UGUNUCANGGANCNNNGGUNNNNNAACGUGGUUGGGUUGUUGCUGGCUUCUAGGAGCAUGUGCACGCUCACUCCAUUUUUAACCACCUGUGCACCUUGUGUAGAUCUGAACAAAUCUCGGGGAAACUCGGUCAGAGAAUUGCUGUGUGUUUAAAAGCCAGCUUUUCUUGGGUUCAGAUCUAUGUCUCUAUAUACACCAUAUGAAUGUAUUCGAAUGUAAUUGAUAGGCGUUACAGCCUCUAAAAUCAAAUACAACUUUCAACAACGGAUCUCUUGGCUCUCGCAUCGAUGAAGAACGCAGCGAAAUGCGAUAAGUAAUGUGAAUUGCAGAAUUCAGUGAAUCAUCGAAUCUUUGAACGCACCUUGCGCUCCUUGGUAUUCCGAGGAGCAUGCCUGUUUGAGUGUCGUGAAAUUCUCAACCUCUCUGGUUUUUUAAUAAGCUAGUUAGGCUUGGAUUUUGGAGGUUGCUGGCGUCUCAGAAAUCAGCUCUUCUUAAAUAAAUUAGCAAAGUCUUUGCUGACCAUCUCUGGUAUGAUAAUUAUCUAUAUCAUUGAGAAUCAGCUUCCAUCUCGGAAAGAUUUCGCUUCUAAUGGUCUAUAUCGACAACUUGACAAUUUGACCUCAAAUCAGGUAGGACUACCCGCUGAACUUAAGCAUAUCA
rnacentral:rRNA from 1 species